rnacentral:rRNA from 1 species
UACGGGGGGGGCAAGCGUUGUUCGGAAUUACUGGGCGUAAAGGGCUCGUAGGCGGCCAACUAAGUCAGACGUGAAAUCCCUCGGCUUAACCGGGGAACUGCGUCUGAUACUGGAUGGCUUGAGUUCGGGAGAGGGAUGCGGAAUUCCAGGUGUAGCGGUGAAAUGCGUAGAUAUCUGGAGGAACACCGGUGGCGAAGGCGGGUUGCUGGGCUGACACUGACGCUGACAGCGCGAAAGCUAGGGGAGCGAACGGG